UUGCAGUGAGCCGAGAUCGUGCCACUGCACUCCAGCCUGGGCAACAAGAGCGAAACUCCAUCUCAAAAAAAAAAAAAUUUUGUUUUGAUCAAUGUUGAUACACGUACGCACCCGCAAAACCAUGACCAGGAGCAUCACGACUCCCAAAGCUUCCUCGUGAUUCUUUGGAAUCCCUCCCUACAGCCCCUCCCACCCCACCCCAUCCCAAGCAGCCACUGAUUUGCUGUCACAGUCAGUAGAUUUGUAACUUCCUUAAUACCAUUUCUGAGCCCAGGAGGCAAAUACUUUCUUUAUAUUGGGUAGACCUUUCGUGGCAUGUUCAAGCUUUUGAAUUCAGAGAGUGAGAGAAUGAGAAAGAAAAGGCUGGUCUGGGUCACUCCUGGGAGGCCUGGCCCUAAGCAGAGUAUGGCUCACGUGCCCUGGAGCCCCUGUGCACCGGACAGCCUGACUGCCCUGCUGCAAGCUUUAUAGCUCCCCCGUUACCUUUCCUGGACCAGCUGGUACAAUCUCAAACUUUUCACCAAUUCUGACAUCUAAACAACUAACUCCAGAGACAGGCUCUGUGGAACCAGCAGCUGCGACCUCACCUCCGGUCCCCAAAACACUGAGUUGUUAAACAAAAGAACCACAUCUCUGGGCUGGCUCUGCCCAAGGACACCACAACUUCUCCAUUCCUCAUGCCCUGUCCCCGUGGGGUGCAGGUGGGGCUGGGCCCACGAUGGCAUCGGGCCCACUUUCUCUAAUGCAGGAAGCAUUCCAGAUGCCGGGAGCCAUGGAGAUUGUCCUCAUCCCUAUCAUCUGGCUUGGCGAAUGAUGAUGAAGACAGUUUUCCCACAAGCUAUUUCCAGACUUAUGUUUUGAAGUGUUCAAGAAGCAAUUUAGAAUGCCAGAGACCAUGCAUUAGGACAUUUGAAAAUCUACAAGAAAUUGGAGCAACUUGUUUUUGAAGAAUGAUUCAUGUUAAUAUGGAGCCGUAAAACUAUCUUUGUGAAAGUUGCUGUUCCGAUUGCUUUAUUUUCUUCAUCUUUCCCAAUGAGUACAGCAGUUUUAUGUCUACAUUGGGUUCUUUCUUUGUUUCUCCUAUCAAAACAUUGUAGCUUUAUGAGAACUGUGUUUUGUCUUGUUAUGCUUCUUUACUACACCAAAAUAAAUGCAGAUGAUUUUCUAUUGAC